AAUCUGCCCUCUAAGUGGCUUAAAAUUGUUCUCGUGUACGUCCCUUUUGUUCAACACGUAAGCACGGUCUUCAGUUUCUCGUCUCCCCCGUGCUCUCUCUCUCUCUUUCUAUCCUCUCUGCCUCUCUUUAGAGUUUAGAUUCUUCAAGGUAUAGAUCUCUCUUUUCCCCUUCGUUUUCUCCCUAAGUUUGAUAUUGUGGGCUGUUGAUUUUGUUCCUCGUUUUUUGGUAUUCGAAAGUUCUGGUCGAAUUGAACUCAAGCCCAAGUUGCUUCCACUAUAACUCUUCAGGCCAAAGCAAAACUGGAGAAGAUGACGAUUUGUAAUAAGAUGUUUGUCGCGUCUAUCAGGUGUUGAGGUGUACUUUGCUGUCAAACACGUGGUGUGCAAUUCUUCAAUCUUCCCUUGUGUCUGUGUUGGUAGAUCUCUGUCGUUCCGUCUUUGUUUUUCCUUUUAGGUUUGGAAUUAAAGCUAUGUAAUUUGGGUUGAGGUCAUUCUUAUAGGGUUGGAGUCAAUGCUGGAUAUGUAUUUUCAAAGAGUUACGAGUGUCGGUCUUGUAAAACGUGGCCGCCAACGCAGUUGGACUCACCGUUUGUCAGCUCAUCCCCUUCCUCACUCUGUUUUGCGCAGGUCGAUUUUCUUUUUGCGGCUGCUGAGUGAUUCAUUUUCUUCUCCCUGUUGUUCUCCGUGUUGGCAUUGCUGAAACAUAAAAUUUCGAGUUCUGCUGAGAGGUUUCUAAGGUGAUUGGAGUACUUACCGUCGAGAAAGUCAAGUUUUUUAUCAAUGGAUCUGCGGCAAAGAAAAGGUUGACAUGCUACACUUGUUAUUUGGAAUGAAGGUUUCUGCAGUGCAACUGCAUUUGACUCUGUAUACACCUUCCAUGAAAAGCUUGAAUGUCAUUGUGGAAACUAUGGAGCAUCUUUGGAGGAAAUCAAGUUUUUAUACAGCUAGGAUCUAGCCCAGGAUACAACACACUUUCGUUAGGAUCUUGAAUUGUAUGCUUGGUAAUACUACAAGUGAAGUAGUGCUUCCUGGUUACAUUAAAGAGGACAACAUUAAAGGCAUAUAUGACACUGUUGAGGAGCGUGCUUUAUUGGCAAACCAACUGGAGGAAAUAGAAUAUUUAUGAUUUACAAAUAUAAAGUAUCUUAUUGUGUUCAAUUUAUCACAUUUGCAAUGUAUAUAGUGAUUAGUCUUUUCAAAGAAAUAACUCUGACUAGCUGAGGAGUUGUGCCAACAGAUUACCCAUGAAUCAUAGGAACCCAACCAAAGUUGUCCCGAGACAUGAUCUUUGCAGGCAAUUUGUGGAAUUAGUUGAGGCGUGCAUAAGCUGGCCUGGACACCAUGGUUAAUAAAAAAAAGGAAUAAUUCGUCAGAGAUAGUUAAUUGGGGCUGCUGGAUAAUGGAGAAGUAUGAAGCAGUGAGUGAUACAGAUACACCUAUGAGCUUUUCUUCUCUUCAGAUAGUUUUAUGUUCAUAAUUUAGGAAUUUUGAGAAGACUAUUAAAUUGAUGAAGUCAGUCGGCAGCUCCAUCUCUCAAA